UGUCCAGUGAUGGGAAUCGAACCCACAGUGUUCCGCUUACCGGGCAGAUGCCAUGUCCACUAGGCUACCCUGGAC